rnacentral:piRNA from 1 species
UAUGAUGUUUUGAUUGGUGUUGAUGAGUUU